rnacentral:rRNA from 1 species
AACGAACGCUGGCGGCAGGCUUAAUACAUGCAAGUCGAACGCCCCCUUCGGGGGGAGUGGCAGACGGGUGAGUAACGCGUGGGAACGUGCCCCAAGGUAGGGAACAACUCCGGGAAACUGGAGCUAAUACCCUAUGUGUCCGAGAGGAGAAGGAUUUAUCGCCUUGGGAUCGGCCCGCGUCAGAUUAGCUAGUUGGUGGGGUAAAAGCCUACCAAGGCGACGAUCUGUAGCUGUUCUGAGAGGAAGAUCAGCCACACUGGGACUGAAACACGGCCCAGACUCCUACAGAAGGCAGCAGUAGGGAAUCUUGGACAAUGGGCGCAAGCUUGAUCCAGCCAUGCCGCGUGAGUGACGAAGGCCUUAGGGUUGUAAAACUCUUUCGCACGUGACGAUAAUGACGGUAACGUGAGAAGAAGCUCCGGCUAACUUCGUGCCAGCCGCCGCGGUAAUAC